UACGUAGGGGGCUAGCGUUGUCCGGAAUCAUUGGGCGUAAAGAGCGUGUAGGCGGUUCGGUAAGUCCGCUGUGAAAGUCCAGGGCUCAACCCUGGAAUGCCGGUGGAUACUGUCGGGCUAGAGUCCGGAAGAGGCGAGUGGAAUUCCUGGUGUAGCGGUGAAAUGCGCAGAUAUCAGGAGGAACACCGGUGGUGUAGACGGCUCUCUGGACAGUUACUGACGCUGAGACACGAAAGCGUGGGGAGCAAACAGG
rnacentral:rRNA from 1 species